UACGUAGGGACCAAGCGUUGUUCGGAUUUACUGGGCGUAAAGGGCGCGUAGGCGGCUUUGUAAGUCACUUGUGAAAUCUCCGGGCUUAACUCGGAACGGCCAAGUGAUACUGCAAAGCUAGAGUGCAGAAAGGGCAAUCGGAAUUCUUGGUGUAGCGGUGAAAUGCGUAGAUAUCAAGAGGAACACCUGAGGCGAAGGCGGGUUGCUGGGCUGAUACUGACGCUGAGGCGCGAAAGCCAGGGUAGCAAACAGG
rnacentral:rRNA from 1 species